rnacentral:rRNA from 1 species
AGAUUGAACGCUGGCGGCAUGCCUUACACAUGCAAGUCGAACGGCAGCACGGGAGCAAUCCUGGUGGCGAGUGGCGAACGGGUGAGUAAUACAUCGGAACGUGCCCAUUCGUGGGGGAUAACGCAGCGAAAGCUGUGCUAAUACCGCAUAAGAUCUACGGAUGAAAGCAGGGGAUCGCAAGACCUUGCGCGAAUGGAGCGGCCGAUGGCAGAUUAGGUAGUUGGUGAGGUAAAGGCUCACCAAGCCUUCGAUCUGUAGCUGGUCUGAGAGGACGACCAGCCACACUGGGACUGAGACACGGCCCAGACUCCUACGGGAGGCAGCAGUGGGGAAUUUGGACAAUGGGCGAAAGCCUGAUCCAGCCAUGCCGCGUGCAGGAU